UACGUAGGGUGCGAGCGUUGUCCGGAAUUAUUGGGCGUAAAGAGCUUGUAGGCGGUUUGUCGCGUCUGCUGUGAAAAUCCGGGGCUCAACCCCGGACUUGCAGUGGGUACGGGCAGACUAGAGUGUGGUAGGGGAGACUGGAAUUCCUGGUGUAGCGGUGGAAUGCGCAGAUAUCGGGAAGAACACCCGUGGCGAAGGCGGUUCUCUGGGACGGUACUGACGCUGAGACGCGAAAGCGUGGGGAGCGAACCGG
rnacentral:rRNA from 1 species